UGACAGUGGUUACUUUGGGUCUAUUGUAAACUUGAUAGUACUGAAUUAAGUAGUCGUGUACACUUUUUGGACAUACACUUAUAAAGAACGGAGUAUGGCUGCUGCUACUCACCAAGUGUUGGGUCUUUCUAUUGAAGAGGAACAGUCCCGAAUCCUUAAAGUGAAGGUAAUAGGUGCUACAGGAUUGUUCAAGAAGGAUCUUAUUGGAGCUAGUGAUCCUUACGUAAGGAUUUCAUUAUAUGAUCCUGGAAGUUCAACAAUUGCCACUAUCCAGACGAAGACAGUUAAAAAG